GCGCUCGUAGCUUAAUUGGAUAGAGCACCUGACUACGGAUCAGGAGGUUCGGGGUUCAAAUCCCUGCGAGCGCGCCA
rnacentral:tRNA from 1 species